UCAAGUCAUCAUGGCCCUUACGACCAGGGCUACACACGUGCUACAAUGGCGCAUACAAAGAGAAGCGACCUCGCGAGAGCAAGCGGACCUCAUAAAGUGCGUCGUAGUCCGGAUUGGAGUCUGCAACUCGACUCCAUGAAGUCGGAAUCGCUAGUAAUCGUGGAUCAGAAUGCCACGGUGAAUACGUUCCCGGGCCUUGUACACACCGCCCGUCACACCAUGGGAGUGGGUUGCAAAAGAAGUAGGUAGCUUAACCUUCGGGAGGGCGCUUACCACUUUGUGAUUCAUGACUGGGGUGAAGUCGUAACAAGGUAACCGUAGGGGAACCUGCGGUUGGA
rnacentral:rRNA from 1 species